rnacentral:rRNA from 1 species
GACGAACGCUGGCGGCGUGCCUAAUACAUGCAAGUCGAGCGGACGAAUCGAAAGCUUGCUUUUGAUUCGUUAGCGGCGGACGGGUGAGUAACACGUGGGCAACCUGCCCUGUAGACAGGGAUAACACCGAGAAAUCGGUGCUAAUACCGGAUAACACGAAAUGUCGCAUGACGUUUCGUUGAAAGACGGCGCAAGCUGUCGCUACAGGAUGGGCCCGCGGCGCAUUAGCUAGUUGGUGAGGUAACGGCUCACCAAGGCGACGAUGCGUAGCCGACCUGAGAGGGUGAUCGGCCACACUGGGACUGAGACACGGCCCAGACUCCUACGGGAGGCAGCAGUAGGGAAUCUUCCGCAAUGGACGAAAGUCUGACGGAGCAACGCCGCGUGAGCGAAGAAGGCCUUCGGGUCGUAAAGCUCUGUUGUUAGGGAAGAACAAGUAACGCAGUAACUGGCGUUACCGUGACGGUACCUAACGAGAAAGCCACGGCUAACUACGUG